UCCGCGCGUUUCCCUCCCAGUUACCGGCCACAUGUCCGCAGCUCGCUGUCCCGGGCGCCCCAAAGCAGGCGAGUGGCGUUAAAUCUGCAACUCAUCGUUUACAAAGACAAACAGCGAAGCUCUUUGCAGGAGGCUGUGCGGUUUUAAGGCCAUUUUAUUUCAAUCUUUGAGGCAGAAACACGUGUCGGUACAAUUUAGACCAAUCAAGUCCGGAGCUCUGAGCACAGGGGUAUAAAUUUGACUUGGUUGCCGUAGAAACGGCUGCCACCGAAGAGCUGAACGCAGGAGUCCGUGAAAUCCCGUAAGGAAAUCGUGCUAUGAGCAUCAAGUUUCUGCAAAGCAAACUCCAGGCAGCUUCCCCCCUUCGUGGUCUUUGGACAUCACGAUGUCUGAUGUGAAAGUCUGUCCCCCUGUGAGUGGGAAUCCCCCUCCGCCAGAAGUCGUAAAUCCCAAGAAGCCUGGGCGCGUAACCAAUCAGCUGCAGUAUCUGGAGAAGGUGGUUCUCAAAGCUUUAUGGAGGCAUCAGUACUCGUGGCCUUUUCACCAGCCAGUAGAUGCGGUGGGACUGUGUCUCCCAGAUUAUUAUACAAUCAUUACAAAUCCUAUGGAUCUUGGCACUAUUAAGAAGCGGCUGAAGAACAGAUACUACUGGCAAGCACUUGACUGUGUAAAAGACUUCAAUGCUAUGUUCACCAACUGCUACGUGUACAACCAGCCUGGGGACGAUAUCGUGUUUAUGGCACAGAGCCUGGAAAGGCUUUUUCUGCAGAAACUUUCUAAAAUGCCUAACGAAGAGUUUGUGGUAGUAGCCGCCACAAAGGACCAACAAAAAGGGAAGAAGUCAGCUGCAGGUGCGUUAAAGCCGAGAUCGCUCAUGUCAGAGGUUGUUCUUCAGCAGACCGUCACAGUCAUUCCUCCACAUGUCCCUCAGCUGGGCCCCCCCAUCCAGCUCCCUGCACAGACUCAUGCAGCCAGCAAAAAAGGUGUCAAGAGGAAAGUAGAACCCUGCACCGCCUCAGCGGUCACGAGCAGUGAAGUCUCCCCUGAGGAACGCUCGCCUCCUUGUACGCUGCUGUCCCGCAGAGGGGUUGGGAGGCCCAUCAAACCUCCUAAGAAAAACUUGUCUGCCUGUGAGGGCAAGAAGGUGAGACUGUCUGAGCAGCUCAGGUACUGCAGCGAUAUCCUGAAGGAGAUGCUGUCAAAGAGGCACUCUGCGUACGCGUGGCCGUUUUAUGUGCCGGUCGAUGCCGCUGCUUUGGGUUUGCAUGACUACCAUGAAAUCAUCAAGCAUCCCAUGGAUCUGAGCAGCAUCAAGAAAAAGAUGGAUCAACGAGAGUAUCCAAAUGCAAAGGAGUUCGCUGCUGAUGUCCGCCUGAUGUUCUCCAACUGUUACAAAUACAAUCCACCUUCAAACGAGGUGGUGCACAUGGCAAGAAAACUUCAGGAAGUGUUUGAGGCUCGUUAUCUGAAGCUUCCCCAAGAAGCAGAGUGCUUCCAUCGGCUGGAAAACGAGGAAAAAGGAAAGCGAACUGGAAGUCUGCCAACUUCAGGAAGUUCUGACAGCAGCAGCUCUUCAGAGGCCGAGCCAUCAGAGGAGGUAGCCGUGCAGCUGGCCAGUCUAGAGGAGCAGUUGAAAACUGUCAGCGAUCAGCUGAAGAGGCUUUCCCAAGAGCCCACAAACAAAUCCAAGAAGAGAGAAAAGUUGAAAAAGGAAAAAAUGGCAAAAGAAAAGGAUAUCGCUCGACUAAAGAACAAAUCCUCGAAAUACAAAUCUGCUGUAGGCAAAAUCACAAACAGCAGGAGCUCUUCCAUGCAUGGAACCAGACAUCCUAACCUCUGUGAAUCCAUGAAGAGUGAUGGUGAGGCAUCAUCAGUGCCAAUGACUUACAAGGAGAAGAAACAGUUAAAAAUGGACAUCAGAAAGCUGCCUGGUGACAAACUGGGCAAGCUGGUGGAAAUCAUCCACAGCAGGGAGUCCUGUCUGCGAGAUUCUGCUCUGGAGGAGAUCGAAGUUGACUUUGACAUGCUCAAGCCUUCCACACUGAGGGCGCUGCAGAGGUUUGUUGGAGAGUGUCUGAGUCGGUCCAUCAAGACUGGAACCAAAAAAAGAGCGAAGCCCACCGGAGGAACGCAGACGGGAAAACUGACCAACGGUGGAACAUCUCAGGCUGUCUGCAAAGAACAGCACUUAACUGGAAAAAAGAAGGCGUCAGCUCGAGUCGUGGCCUCUCCCGGCCUCAGCAGCAGCAGCAGCUCCUCAUCCAGCUCUGGCAGCAGCAGCAGCUCCAGUAGUCACUCGAGCUCUUCUGAUAGCAGUGACACUGAAUCAGAGCUGAAGGCAAAGAAGCAGAAAUCUAAAGACUGCUGCCAAAAGGUGAACAAAACGAUGCUGGGAGCAGAAGAUUUGACCAAAGCAUCAUUUAAGACUGGUCAGCCUCCUGUUAGUGAGCAGUCUGUGAAGGACGCCAAGGGGAAAGGUCAGCGAGCGCACCAUGAUGCAGUCCCGGCCUGUGACGGGCUCACUCUGUCACCUCCAGACUUGUCUGCCCUUCUGUCCCCGAUGGCAUCUCCUGGAGUUAUGCUGAACUGGGCUGCUGCAAGAUUUGAGCAGGGUCCAGUGCUGUCCCCUCUCAGAGACAGCCCACUGCAGUCCAAACCCAUUUUCAGAUAUGCUGGAGAUUUUCCUGACAGCCAGGUGACUAAUGUGCCUUACAUCGAUGCUGCAAGUAGAUCUGCUGAGGAGGAAAAACCCCAAAUCCCCAAAAAGGACAUUGUGCUGAAAAACACAGAGUCUUGGGCGAUGCUGGUGAGACAGUCGGUCACACCAACUGCAAUCAAGUCCUCGAAAGAGAGCUUCCAGCACUUCCGUAAGGCUGCCAUAGAAAAGGAGGAACGUGAGCGAGCCCUGAAAAAGAAGCUGAUGGAGGAAAACAAGGAGAGGGAGGCUGCUGAAAAGAGCAGGUGUCCACACAGAAACACCUGCAAGUGUCCUGUAAAGCAGAACAAAAUCCACAGCCUGUUAAAGAGGAUUCCGAUUUUCCUGAAAGUAUUUGCACAGAAGCUCCCCGCGAUGCUCUCGAGCACGUCGAGGAGCAAAAGGAAGCGCGACCUCUGACCCCACAGCCCUCUGUCGAUAGAGAGAGAGAGCUGGCCCGCAAAAGAGAGCAGGAGCGACGCAGGCGAGAGGCGAUGUCGGCUAUCGACAUGACCAUGCAGCGGGACAUCAUGACUACAUUUGAGCUUAACCUGGACUGAGAUUUACCUGCAAAGGGACUUUUGUUCAAUAAUCAGAUCUUUCCUUCAGAUGCCUUAUGUGUCCUCAAACCUAAUAAAAUAAAGGCUUCAUUGUGUGGUGGGGGGGUCAGAGAUGGGAUGUGUAACAUUGCUGGUUUCAUCAGCCUGUUUAAAGUGAUGUUCUGUUAUUCAGACAUGGCUCCGCUGCGUUCAUGUUCACAGAUUUCAGUCAGACAUGCGUAUGGCAGCGAUGGAGAGAGCCGCUGUAUACACACAAUAUUUGCACUUAAGCCAACGAGCAUAUUGAGUGAAGUGUUUGCAAACCUUUAAACGUUUGAGUCUCCUCUGCUGUACGGAGCUGCUGAGGGGAAACGAGGAACCUUUUCAUCGUGUUGCACGUUAUUGCAAAGAUGCAGGAACGCUCUGAUCGUGUUCAUGGCUCGAUGUUGGGACGCAGUGAGAUCGCUGUCGUAACCGUGGCAGAAAACUGAGCAGGUGCUCCGAGACGUGAAAGGACGUCUGAACGGGGCUUUAAGGACAGCGGGGUCGAGUCCUGAAUUUCAUUGAUGAGCGUCUGCGCUGGUCCACUCUGGGGUUAAAGUGCCUUCAUAAAAACCAACGUUUCAGUUUCUCUGCACUGUUCACACACGCACCCAUCCGCUGCAGCACAGCGCCACCUCACUGUUGUCUGCUGCAGUGUUGAGUUCUUGUUACAUGCUGUCCUGUAAGUGUGCCUUUACCGUGUUUCUGUUAAUACUUGAAAUGCAAACUGGUUCAUGUGUGAGAGCAGCAUGAACCAGUGUUUUUCAUCAAACAUUCUUGGAUUUAAAAAAAUGGAUAUUUUGAACAAAAAAACAAUAACCUGACCAAAGUUUCCUUUGUGGGAGUGACUUCAUCUCCGUUCCUAAUUCUCUUGAAGACUUGAAAAUAUUGUGUUGACUGUACAUGCACUGCACUUUGUUGUUCAUACAGUUUUGGCUGUUCCAAAGUUAAUUUUGGGCAUUACCAGCAUAUUCUGUGUGUU